rnacentral:rRNA from 1 species
UAAUACAGAGGGGGCAAGCGUUGUUCGGAAUUACUGGGCGUAAAGGGCGCGUAGGCGGCCUGUUAAGUCGAACGUGAAAUCCCUGGGCUCAACCCAGGAACUGCGUCCGAUACUGGCAGGCUUGAAUCCGGGAGAGGGAUGUGGAAUUCCAGGUGUAGCGGUGAAAUGCGUAGAUAUCUGGAGGAACACCGGUGGCGAAGGCGGCAUCCUGGACCGGUAUUGACGCUGAGGCGCGAAAGCCAGGGGAGCAAACGGGAUUAGAUACCCCGGUAGUCCUGGCCCUAAACGAUGAAUGCUUGGUGUGGCGGGUAUCGAUCCCUGCCGUGCCGAAGCUAACGCAUUAAGCAUUCCGCCUGGGGAGUACGGUCGCAAGGCU